rnacentral:rRNA from 1 species
AAUGGGGGCAACCCUGAUCCAGCCAUGCCGCGUGAGUGAAGGAGGCCUUCGGGUUGUAAACCUCUUUCAGCAGGGACGAAGCGAAAGUGACGGUACCUGCAAAAGAACCACCGGCCAACUACGUGCCAGCAGCCGCGGUAAUACGUAGGGUGCUAGCGUUGUCCGAAAUUAUUGGGCGUAAAGGGCUCGUAGGCGGUUUGUCACGUCGGGAGUGAAAACUCGGGGCUCAACCCCGAGCUUGCUUCCGAUACGGGCUAACUAGAGGUAUGCAGGGGAGAACGGAAUUCCUGGUGUAGCGGUGAAAUGCGCAGAUAUCAGGAGGAACACCGGUGGCGAAGGCGGUUCUCUGGGCAUUACCUGACGCUGAGGAGCGAAAGUGUGGGGAGCGAA